UCUAGACAGUGAUUUGCACGAAGAAGAAGAUGGCGGAACCUGAAAGAGGUUUGUCUUCGACUAACGCGUCUUUCCAGCUUCGUAUACAAGACUCAAACCACGAGAUAACACUGUAUAAAGACAAUUUUCCAGUCUUGAAGGCAGAAAGGGGAGUCACUCUUGGCCUAUUAAAACUGAUAUACUCCUCAGAUGAGGGCAAUAGCGGAAUCCUAUUGGGUGUUAAACCGAGAGUCAAUGACAGAAUCCCAUGUCUUAUCACAUUUGAUAGCACCUCACUGAACCAUGCAGAAUAUGAUCUGAUAGUGCAAGAUGUCAGUGGUAUAGAAACAAUGCCUAAAGCAAUUCUACAGCAAAAUACCCAACAAGACAACCUGCAUGUCACAGAUCAGCUACAAUAUGCACAGGAGCUCACUCCAAGCCGCGAGACCCCACCCAGCAGCCAGAUUACAAAACCUACCACCACAAGCACAAAGACAAGACAGAGGGUCAAUAAAAGGCAUAGGGGCCCAUCAACCAGGACCUCUAGAGCAACACCUCAAGCAGCCCCUAAACAAAGCGUCCCUUCCUCAAUGAUGGACUUUGAUGAAGAGCAAAUGGCAGAGGAGAUGAUUGGCAAGAGAUAUCAGUCACCCAGUUCACCACAGGGGGGAGGUGAGGUGAGUUUGAAAGAAAAGGAGCAGGAUGAUGAACCACCUGAGCCUGACUCCACAGGGAACCCACCAGAAGAAUUCCACUUUGUGGCUGAGGACUAUGGCUUUGAUAUUAAUCUUGUGAGCCCCACCCAGACUGAUAAAGGGGUACGCUGGCCCUGUUAUCGCUGUGGCAAAGACUAUUUUUCUGCAGCACACUUAAGACGGCAUUGGAUCAUUCACACCUCCUUUCGCCCCUAUCAGUGCAAUGUUUGUGAGAAGCGUUUCCCCUUUAACUGGGAUCUGAAAAAACACAUGACCAGACAUACAGGAAACAAGCGGUUCAAGUGCCCCUCAUGCCCCAAGUCCUUCAAUACAAGAAGUGAAUUAAAAUGCCACAAUUGGCUACACACAGGUCAGAAACAAUUUAAGUGUACCAUAUGCCAACAUGAGUUUUCUACAAGUUCCAACCUAAAGAUUCAUUACCGAAAACACACAGGUGAGAAGCCCUACAAGUGCGAGUAUUGUCCGAAGGCAUUUCAUAUGAUGGGUCAUUAUCAGUACCAUGUGAGAUCGCACACUGGACAAAAGCCAUACUCAUGUGAAAUUUGCGGCAAGAAGUUUAGCUAUUUAAACAACAAGAAUGAGCACAUGAACAUUCACACUGGGGCCAAACCAUACAGUUGUCCCAAGUGCGAUAAGAAGUUCCGCCAUCACUCCUCGCUUAAACAGCACACGUACAGGCACGAGGGCCAGAAACCAUACAAGUGUCCGAUGUGCGGCAAGGGAUUUGGACAGAAGACCAAUUACCAGGUCCACUUAAUCACCCAUAAGGACAAGGACGAACGAGGUCAGACGUGCGAGCUUUGCGGUAAGAGACUCCUCUCGCGUCGUGGAAUCAAAGAGCACAAGCAACGCUGCGUCAAGCGCACCGUCGACCGCGCCACCGCGCCUCCGAAGCCUGAAAAAGAGAAGAAAACUGGGAGCUUCCCCUGCGAGAAAUGCCCGAGGGUAUUCAAGUAUGCGAAGAACUUUGACGCGCAUAUGAAAGCGCACGCCAUAAAGGAGGCUAAACCCAGGAAAGAAAAGGUUAAGAAACCCAAAGCCCCCAGUACACUUCGCGUCAAGUGUCCGUUGUGUGACAUGAAGUUUAAUUUCGUGCGGCGGCUAAAGACGCACUUACAGGUCAAGCAUGCAGGUGUAGAGGUCGAGCUCCCCCCGGAUAUUGCCGCGAAAGAAGCGACUCAAGACCCCCAAAAACGAAUUAGACCGAUCUUACCAAACCAAGAUCGACCCAAGAGAAUGCCGUACCAGCCCCUGAGUCUCCUACCGCGCGUUCACAUUAAGCCACAGACAACCCAUCAGAGUCCAACACCAACGAACGUCACAGUUCUCUAUGUACCCGCCUCCCAGGCACCUAACAAGCCGCUUUCAACUUUUAAACAUACUGCGGGCGACAGCCGCUACGUACCUAUUGUUCCCAAGCCCCCUUCUCUGAACACGACUUCCAGUCAGCUCACUUCCGUUCAACUUGCUUCCUGUCAAAUCAGUUCCGGUCAAUCCACAUCCGGUCAACAAACUUUCAGUAUGUCGACCCGAGUAACCUCGUGUGUGCCGUUGGUCGUGACGCAAAGCCUAACAAAGACUGUGACGUCAUCUCCAAUAGUAGCUGGCUCCAAGUCUCUUACGGCUUUAGCGCAACUGAACAAAACGAUAACACCGGAAGAAGGAAAACAAGGUGAAACUGGUUCCCAGGCCAUUUCUGCAUUAAAGCGGCUCUCGGUCAAAGUGGGAAUGGGGGACGAUAUCUUAGUGUUGCCACACAGAUCUGCGGAGAUAAGGACCCGAAGUUCUGAGCACCUAUCCGCAUUAGAACAGCUCUCAAAGCGGGUCGGGGACUCCGGCGCACCGGUCUUGGACCCUCAGACUCAGAUCCCCUUGAGGUACCCGCGGAUGGAUCCGGCUGGCAGCAGCUCGGAGUCUGGUGACAAGGGAACAAAUGAGUCAUGUCAAGAAGACAAUGGGAAUUCCACGAAUAUAUCUGUGAAUAGCGAGGGAGGGGAGGGAAAGGCGGUUGACCACAGCACCGAUUCAGCCGCCAAGGAAUCUUAGUCUUCAAUUGAAGUCGCGUCAAUACGGUGGAGUUUUGAAAAGAUCGAAAAGAGCCAUGUCCCUGAAAUGCUAAACUUGCUCAAAAUCCUCUGGAAACUGUGGAGAGAUCGUUAUGCCUUGCGAAAAGGACGAAGAUACGUGUUACAAGAGAAAAUUAGGAGACAGAACAACUAAGGGCUGCUCUGUGAAGGAAAAUUGUGAAAGUUUUGUCGAGCGCUGAAAAACAAAAAUCAACUACUGCGAGGCGGCGUGCUGCCAGACAGACGCAACGUAGGUGCUGAAUCAACCUGUCGUCAUAGUUACUGCUGCAGCGGCUUCUGUGGCGAUGGCUCGUUACAUACUCUUGUAACCUCGGCAACGCUUUGUUUUGUGUGCUGGUGUCAAUAUUUUUGUAGUUUUUUUUUCAAAUUUUCUCUUUAUAUUUGAUUUUGAUGUUGAUUGUAAGUAAAACGUAAUGUCUAA